GGGCGCUUAGCUCAGCUGGUUAGAGCGUCUCGUUUACACCGAGAAGGUCUAGGGUUCGAAUCCCCAAGCGCCCACCA
rnacentral:tRNA from 1 species